CACAUGACAAUGACGGUGAGCCUGCAGAGGAGGCGGAGCCUAAAAGAGACGCCAUCCAAUCCGCUGUAAAGACUAAAUGCUCCAAAGUCAUCAGUUACCAGGGUGUUGUGACAGAAGUUGGUGAGUGAUGGGGGCGGGGCUAUAUGUGAUUGAUGGAAAGGUGGGCCUGUGUCUGGCCUAUCAGCCGGCUUUGAGGAGGAAACUGAGACCUGGAGACAGUGUGGAGCUCCACAGUGUCCACUUCCUGUAUCGUCCGUGCCUGACUUCCUUCCCUUCGUGCUUUGUGCCUG